rnacentral:rRNA from 1 species
CCUACGGGAGGCUGCAGUGGGGAAUAUUGCACACUGGGGGAAACCCUGAUGCAGCGACGCCGCGUGAGUGCAGAAGUAUUUCGGUAUGUAAAGCUCUAUCAGCAGGGAAGAGAAUGACGGUACCUGAGUAAGAAGCCCCGGCUAACUACGUGCCAGCAGCCGCGGUAAUACGUAGGUGGCAAGCGUUGUCCGGAUUUACUGGGUGUAAAGGGCGUGCAGCCGGAGAGACAAGUCAGAUGUGAAAUCCACGGGCUCAACCCGUGAACUGCAUUUGAAACUGUUUCCAUUGAGUGUCGGAGAGGUAAUCGGAAUUGCUUGUGGAGCGGUGAAAUGCGUAGAUAUAAGGAAGAACACCAGUGGCGAAGGCGGAUUACUGGACGAUAACUGACGGUGAGGCGCGAAAGCGUGGGGAGCAAACAGGAUUAGAUACCCCUGUAGUC